rnacentral:tRNA from 1 species
GGAGGCGAAUGAGUUUCUGGUGUGCUCUGCGGUCUUCAAAACCGUUGUGAGAAGAGUUCUUCUCGGGUGGGUUCGAUUCCCACUCGUCUCCGCCA